CAUCUAUGAGAAACCUACAAACAUCACACUUAAUGGAAAUGUUCAACAGAGAAGCCAGAAAGGUACCUCCUUGGAAAGGAAGCUACUGGAGGAUGUACUUCAGCAACAUGAGGGAGAAAGAGCAAGACAUGGAUUUCAAAAAGCAGGAACUUCAACACAUGAGGACAAUGAAGGGAAAUCCAGAUUGACAGCUAUGUAGCAGCCGGGAAAGCAACUAGUCCAACUGGAAGCAAGAGGAAGAACAAUGGCUUCAGAAGGAAUGUCUCAGGGAUUCCCUACUUUGUUGACUGACAUCAACAUCCUUUCAAGCCCACAAGUCAUUUGUGAUACCUCUCAACCCCCAUAUCCAAUCCACUACCAAGUCCUGUG